GGCUUAUAUAGGAUUAGUUAUCUAAUUUGUUCCUUUUUUGCACCUCAUAUCACUCAAGUGUGCACCAUAAGCCUAGGCCCCAAACCCUUCUGCACCUUGAGGCUUCAAUAAUUAUUUACCUAAUUAACUAGUGAUAAUCACUCUAUCACUACCUAAUCAAUACAUCAACACAUAAAACCACAUAUCCAAGAUUACUUGUAUUCUGACUUCUCUUUUAUCAUUAUGAAAGCUCUCACAAAAGUCAAUUUCUUUAAAACCCCAAUAGCUCUCAAGAUCCCAGCCUUUACUUUAACCUCCCAGAUACUGAUAAAAAAUGUCAAGUGAAUCAGAAGAGAGAAGGUGAAGUAGUGUAAAGGGAUCUAAUAGCUCUAAACCUUUAUGCAAAUUUGGUCCUAAACCAAGCAAAAAGGAGGAAUAU
rnacentral:misc_RNA from 1 species